UACCAGUAUGUUAUGCGUCCUAUC
rnacentral:siRNA from 1 species